rnacentral:rRNA from 1 species
UACGGAGGGGGCUAGCGUUGUUCGGAAUUACUGGGCGUAAAGCGCACGUAGGCGGCUUUGUAAGUUAGAGGUGAAAGCCCGGGGCUCAACCCCGGAAUAGCCUUUAAGACUGCAUCGCUUGAACACGGGAGAGGUGAGUGGAAUUCCGAGUGUAGAGGUGAAAUUCGUAGAUAUUCGGAAGAACACCAGUGGCGAAGGCGGCUCACUGGACCGUUGUUGACGCUGAGGUGCGAAAGCGUGGGGAGCAAACAGGG